rnacentral:lncRNA from 1 species
CCUGUCAAUCAGAAACUUUGGACAAGGAGUGUUAGAAGGGCGGCUGUGUGCUGCUGCCUGAUGUUACCUUAUUUUAACAUGGAUUUACGCUGAUCAGGCCGCGGCUGCCCGUGUGUGUAUGGUGAUGCAAGCUUGGCCUUGGUGCCUGGCUGGGAAAGCCAGGAGCUGCUGGUAAUGACGGCCAACAACACUGUAAUAUUGGUUUGGAGGUCUGAACAACGGUGGGGGUCGUUUAGAAGUCCGAGGCGGCGCUGAGGAAGAGAGAGAAACCCGAUUCACUCCACCACCACCGCCAUCACCACCACCACCACCACUACGGCCGUUCUAAUUCUCUGGCCAGGUAUUACACUAAGCACCAGUGACGGAAUAACAAGAUAUCCAUGGAAUCUUGCUAAUUAAGAGACGUAACACAAGCAGGAGGAAGAGGAAGAGGAAGACGAGGAGGAACAGGAAGAGGAGAGUAAGAGGAGGAGGUAAUGAUUCUACUGACGGAGGAAGAAUGGUUUGAGGCAAGGGAUUCAGGCUAAGCAGAAGGAGGAGGAGGAGGAGGAGGAGGAGGAGGAGGAGGAAGAGGGGUAGGACCUGGAUUGCCUGGGAAGAAACACCAAAAGAAAGAAGAGAUUGAUAAAAAGGGAGAUAAAAAGGAAGAAAGGAGCAGGAAGAAGAGCACGACGAGGAAGAAGAGGAGGAGGAGGAGGAGAAGAAAGAGGA